rnacentral:sRNA from 1 species
GCCGGGUGGUGGCGCACACCUGUGAUCCCAGCCACCUGGGAGGCUGAGGCAGGAGGACUGAGAGUUCAAAGCCAGCCUCAGCAAUUUAGCAAGGCCCUAAGCAACUCAGUGAGACCCUGUCUCUA